UUUGCACUACUUUGUAUUCAUAGGUUAAUCAAUCAGUGAAAGCUUUCUGAGAGGAAAAAUUGGGUUUCGGUUGUGGUUCUUCGCCGCUCUAGCCUUUUUUCAUCAAAGAUUCUUGUUAGGAGAGGGAAACAAAAUUCGAUGAGCUUAUGUUCGGAGUUGAUGUAGAUUGGCUGAUUAUACCAACGUGGACGUUCAGGAAGUGUAUAAAAAGAGAAUAAGUAAAACUCGAUACUUUGCGAAUAGAAUUGCUUGAUUAUUCCCUAAGCAUGUUGAGUUUUAAACAAGGUUUACAAGCUAUCCAAAAAGAAAAAGAAGGCAAUUCCUACUCCUAAUUAAAGAGAUUCUAAACCCUUCCCAUAUUUACAAGGAAUUGUUUUUCUUUUCCAUAUUAACAAUUUACUAAUUCUUAAUGCUCCGUCUUUUGUUGGAGUGUACAUGUCGUAUGCUCCUUAUUUGCCGCAAGAUAUACUCAAUUUUGGAGCCAUAGAGUGACUUUGUAAGAAUAUCUGCUAAUUACUGGGGAAUGAGUUGACUGAGCUUUGGUUUCAAGUAUCUGGUGAUUAGACGUUGAAUGUAUUAAAGUGGUUUCCUAUCCAGCUACAAAGGAUUAGUAUUUAGUUGUUGUAUGCUUGAAUUAUAAUAAGUUGAAUCUAUUGUGCAAGGAGAUUAACAAAGAAUUUUGUGGUUUCAUGGAUCAAUUCAAGUGUCAUUAGUAUCAACAGUUUCUCAAAGACGAUGGCCUCCUGGGACUUCAAGAUGAUCAAAAUGUUAAACACUCUGGUGGAAGGUCCAUUGUUAAUCUGGUGGGAUAUCCAAUUUGUCAAGUUCUUAAAUCUCUGUCCUUUUAUUAUUUCCUUUUCUCCCCUUUCCUAUAUCUCUAUAGGUGUCUCAAUUAACUUUUCUUUAUUUGACGUGCUCUUUUGUUUUUUCAUCAUCUUAUCUCCAAUAAUCGCUUGGUCAUACUUCAACUUCAUCUUUGGUUUGUUUGCACAGAAAAAGAAUAGUCCAUGCUUUUGGCAAAUGCUUAGAGAAAUCAUCAAAUUCAAGCAGGAUGUCAUAACGUACUAUUUCAUCCUUUAGCUUGACUAUCGGUUAAUAAAUCCGUUUGAUGUUGAUGUUUCAUUAUUACAGCACAACAAAGUAUUCUUUGGUUGAAAAGGACUAAAUCAUUGUGUUUUGCACAUGUUCUGUAUUUGUGUAAAAAAAGAGCUGUCUUUAAUGUAGUUUAUGUUUCCCACUCCAUUGCAGUUAUCUUGAGGCACUUGAUAACAAUUCUGACAUUGAUCGGAAUGAAACGUUAGGAUAUUUUAUUCAGUCACAUGGCUAUUCGGAGUUAUUUCAGAAAGCUUAUCUGGUGAUCAGACUUCUGUUCCGUCAAAGUUCUUGAUUUUAUUACAUGCAUAGACCAUUUUGUUUCAUUCAAAAAGAUAAUAUUGCUAUAAGCAAUUCACACAAAUGUUUUGACAGUUUUCAAUAUGUGCAUCAAUUUGGUUCUGCCCCUCGAAAAGAGUAAUGAGCUUUUUUUGCUUACUCCAUUCUUUCAUUUUGUCGCAACCAUCAUCUCUAUAUGAACGAAUGAAGAAGGUCCGGUUUGGUUCUA